rnacentral:lncRNA from 1 species
UUAGUCCCAAUUUAGCUCCAACUAAACUACUAAAUAUCAUAGCCAUCGCAUAACUUAAUUUAGUAAUUUAAUUAAGUCAAAUUAAUUCUAUUAAAUAAUUUGGAUUGCAUUUUAAAGCAAAAUAACUAAAAUAUCAUUUAUCGUUAUUUUAUCACCGAAAUCAAAACCCCAUCGUUAUUUUAUCACCGCAAUCAAAACCCCUCUCCGUGGAUGUCAAUAAUUAGGUUUGGAUUAAUUAACUAUCUACCAAACCCUAAUUAUUUAUAACUCUUAUGAUUCAUAUUUUAUUUUCCAUUAGUCACAAAAUAAUAACUCUCUAUUUCGAUAAAUAAUUUAUAAAAAAGAUCAGAUUUGAAUUUCCAUAACUAAAUUAAUGAAUUAACGCAUAACUGAUACACACUCUCUUCUAGAAAAGAGUAAUAUUCCAUCUUGAUAAUUAAGUAUUCCCACAGACUUAUCAACGACCAUCCAAAAUAAUCGAGGUGUUGGCUCCAUUAACCUCACUCAUUGGCAAAUCAAAGUGACCAAUGCCAAGAACUUGAGUUUACCAUUCUCUCAGGAUUAAGAGUCAAUUAUAAUAGCGUAUGUAAAAUUUAAUCAUUAAUUAACAGUUUUAUAUGAUAUAUUUUCUUACGACGAUCCAUUCAGUGCAUUCCAUAAUACGCUAAUACUUUAACCUAGAGUCACCUACUAUGAUGGUUGAGAUAAACUAUCCUAUUAUAUAAAGGUUAACAAUAUUAUAGUUUUUGUAGAUGAGAUGUCUAAACUAAACUCAUCACCAACUACGAACUAAAUAAAGUUAUUAGGAUCAACUAUUAAUAUCUUUUGUGUGUAAAUCUCAUUUUAUAUCCAUUUAUUAUAUCUCUAGAUAACUUAGGGAUAUCAUCUCAUGAUAUAUAAGAAACACAUCUAAUUUAUGAUAAAAUAAAUUCUCAUUUCAAAUAAUAAUUAAAUAUUUAGACAUGUGGGCAAUAAAAUCCAAUACCACUAAGAUAUGUGUACAUCUUGAAUGUUGGAUAUUGUGGGAGGAUAAAAUAUCUUACUUUGUUUUCGAUCAAGCUCAAGUGAGCGCUAUCGACGGACUAUUGCUUUAUAGUAAGUUCAGUCGGUAUCUCACGCGCGAGCUCGUCAAUGAGCUAGAUCAAGCAAAAAUCCACAGGGACACAUCAGGUUAGAGAGUAACGCACACAGCGAGUUUUCUUUGCCACCUGCAUAUUUAAGUUCAGACUUCGAUGACACGAUGGUCCACCGUCUAUUUGCUGACAUGGCAGUCGGCGAGUCUUUCACAUGUAGUGAGCUGCACGAUAGUCGCUGAAGUGGCAACCGGCGCGUCUGCGUAGCAUGACUGAGCUACAUUAUAAAAGGGGGCAAGCUCUCUCUCUCUCUCUCUCUCUCUCAUGGUGGCAACAUUCUUUAUACUGACUCUCUUUUUCAAAAACAGAGCCAAGAACUCCUUUCUUGCUCUCUCUUCUAUUCCGGUCACUGACUUGACUAUCGGAGAGUCAUCUAUAGGAUAGUUCUGUGUGGUCCUUCUUAGUAUAUUUUUCGAAUUUGGUUAGGCUCAUGUAGAACAGGUACACGCUUCUUCUUCUUCUUCUUCUUCUUCUUCUUCUUCUUCUUCUUCUUCAUCAGAAGAAUAAAGAGAAUACUUUUCUUCGUUUAGACUAAAUAUAGGGUUCACUUUGCUCUAUUUUUUUUUUUAAAAUUAGCUGCUUUCGUUUAUGAGUUUUUUCGUUUUUAACGAUUUAAGAUUUUAUUACCCAUUCAAUUUUUCUUGACGAGAGAAAUUUAAAAAAAAAUUCUCAUUAAUUUGAAAUAUAAGGUUCCCUAAUUUUUUUUACUCGACAAAUUACUUAAAUUUUUGUCCGUAGUGAUUUUGUUUUUUAAAUUUAAGUAAAAUUUAAUAUUUUUAGAUUUUUCACUCGUCAAGAAGAACCGAACAAAUAAAGAUUUGUUCAAAUUUUGUAAAAAAUUCACUAAAACCAAAAAAUUACUUAUUGUGAAGGUUUUCACUAGCUUGGUAUAAUCUAAGGAUGAAGGAAAAUUAAAGGAAAUGGAAUUACUCACAUAUAUUAACUUUUUUGUUAAUAAUUAAAUGAAAAA